AUUUGGCGGACGGGUGAGUAACGCGUAUGCAACCUACCUUUAACAGGGGAAUAGCCCCGAGAAAUCGGGAUUAAUACUCCGUAACAUUGCGGUGUGGCAUCACACUGCACUUAAAGCUGAGGCGGUUAAAGAUGGGCAUGCGUGGCAUUAGCUAGUUGGUGAGGUAACGGCUCACCAAGGCAACGAUGUCUAGGGGUCCUGAGAGGGUUAUCCCCCACACUGGUACUGAGACACGGACCAGACUCCUACGGGAGGCAGCAGUAAGGAAUAUUGGUCAAUGGGCGCAAGCCUGAACCAGCCAUGCCGCGUGCAGGAAGACGGCCCUAUGGGUUGUAAACUGCUUUUGUCAGGGAAUAAACCCCCGCUCGUGAGCGGGGCUGAAGGUACCUGAAGAAUAAGCAUCGGCUAACUCCGUGCCAGCAGCCGCGGUAAUAAU
rnacentral:rRNA from 1 species